CGCCCGCCCUUCUGCCUGCCCCUCGUCUGGCUCUGCGUUUCUCCUCAGCAUGUUGUCACCUGACACGCUGUGGACUCGAUUUGAUUUGUGCGUCCUCAUUCUGUCCUCGCUAGGAUGGAGGUUCCACGAGAACAGGGCUUUCCUCUGGCUGCUGACGACGGAGCUCCCGGCACCUGCACGAGUGCGUGGCGCGUGGGAGCAGGUGUGCGCUGAGUGCUCGGUGCAGUUGCUGGCAGCGCGUGCACGUCCGCAGCUGUGAGCGUAGCUCUAGCAGUGUAGACACCUGGGAAAGUCGGGGCCCAAUCAGUGAGCUGCUCCUGCCCCUCAUCCGCUCCAAAUUUUGAGUCUGUGUCACCCACUUUGCAGCUUUUCCAUCUACUCUGAUAGAAUCGUCUCGAUAGGACAAUGCCUAUUCCUGUUCUGAGCCUAAGUUCUAUCUCCUGCAUGGGUCACAAAGCCGAGCCCCUGGCCACUGAGGCCUCCCCGUUCGCCUCCCAGAGGCCGCCACUUUCUUCAGGGCUAUCAGAUGAAGGCAGCAACGAAAACACCACCACAAGACCAACUUCAGGCUGGAGCUGAUGAUGCCACACAGCGAGAAAAAAGAAAAUAGACUCUACUUAGAAAUGAAACUCAACUAAAGGUAAAAGUUGUCAGGAACAUCUCCAAGAAAGCCAGAGUCAGCCUCUAAACUUUGCAUCAAGAACGCAAUGGCUUCCCUGAGGGCCCAGGGACGCGUGGCAGCUGUGAGGCAGCCCCUUCUCUGCUGUCGAGGAACUGGACACUUCUCCUGUCCCUUCCCACAAGGGGCUUCCUGGAGCUCCUGCAACCCCAGGCAUUAGUUCCGGUGCAGUUCUAGGAUCAGAUCAAUUCACUCGACAACAAGAGAAACAAAUGGAGAUUCCUACACAAAGACUUUCAAGCACAAAGAAAUCCUGCUGCCUGUAAAGCGGAGCUGCCUCAGCCCUUGAUGAACGACAGAAAAUACCACCUACUGCCAGACCUCAACGCCUCACAAAACUCUCACCCACCUACUGCUUUUAGCUCACAUUCCAGGAAUUCAGAUGAAGUGAAGUGCUCUCAUGGGGACCAGGCAUGGUUAUGCCAGUCCACUGCCCUGCAAGCCUCAAGGGAAGCCAACUGCCCUUCAGCAAGUCACACCUGCCUUGGUGGAGGCCUUGAUUGGAAGUGCCACACGCUACAUGUCCAGUCCUGAGCGGGAGAAUCGGUGUAGGGACGUUCUGGGGAUGCCAGCUGUGGCCAGAUCAGGUCCAACUACAGAAGAAUAAUGAAGACUCCACCUGAGGGCUGGAAAAACAAAACCUCAAGUGUGAGGCAGCCAACCUGUUACCUCGAGGGACUGUUCCGCAGCACAGCGGGGCCAUGGGAACAGCAGCAGACACCCCGACCUCCUCGCUACCUGUAUCAACUAUGGCCUGAGUAUGAUAGACUUAUCCAUGGUUUAAACAGAAUAUAUUGUUUUCAACUUUGAAAAUAAGAAUAUGGAAAUCCAGAUGCAGAAAUGUGAGAAGAAAAGAGAGUAAACAGAGUGGAAGGUCAGGUGACCUUGCCUGUCAUGAAUAUGAAGGUCAAGGUGUGUGAAUUGUGAAAUUUCCAAGAGAACCUCACUGAAGCAAAGAAUGAAGAAAGAAUUGCAUUUGGCCCUGGGAGGGUGCAGGGGUGAAUGGUGCAGGAGCUAAAUCUUUAUCAUACCCAGAAAUCAACAGCCACUAUUUGAAAUCAUCUAAAUUCGUGCUGCUAACCUUCAGUGUACACACGAAUCACCUGGGGAUCUUACUAAAAGCUAGUUUCUGAUUCACUAAAUCUGUGUGUGGUGGAAGUUGAGGGCAGAGAAGCUCCCGAGGGUGUCAAGCUGACUCUGAACCCGACUUUGAGGGUUAAGGUCCCAAAUGGCAUCGCCAGCACCAGGGACAGACACUAAAAUUGUAGAAAUCGUCUCAAGAAAUGAACAGCCUCUAAGUCAGAUGUUGAAUGUGAAAGAAAUCAGGGUGUGUACGUGUGUGUGCAUUUGUGUGUGCACGUGUGUGCCUGUGUUUGUCUCUGUGCAUGUAUGUUUCUAUGUGUGCACAUGUGUGUAUGUGUCUGUACAUGUGUGUUUCUGUGUGUGUGCCUGUGUGUGUAUUGGCUUAGAUCUGUUCGAGACUUUUUAUUUGAUGAGAUCGAUAUAUGCCACCACUUUUGGAAAGGACAACGUAUAUACAAAGACAAUGAUUACUUAUGUAAUGUGAACGGAGUCUCUCUUCGACCCUCAAAUGUUUUGUAGAAAGUAAUGAUGAUGGUGAGGAUUAUAACAAUGCGUGUUUCCUGAAUAACAAAAAGGAGUUACAGUACACUUUUACCUAUUUUUCCAAAGCGCUAGGUCAAGUUUAGCUAAAGUCUGCUUGGAAUUAAUGAGGCUUGGAAAUGUAAAAUCUCAGAGCAGUAAACAUCUCUUUGUCCUAAUGUUCUUAUGUAGCCAUUAAAACUUAAAUAUUAAUACUAAAAUAACUACUGUAAAAUAAAGUAAAAAUGUACGAGAAUAA
rnacentral:lncRNA from 1 species